UGAAUUGUGUACAGGGUCCCCAUUGGAGGAU
rnacentral:piRNA from 1 species